UGAUUACCACGAGCAAGACGUGCUGUGGAAGAGGAGGAAAUAUUCCUUUGAGCAAAUAUUCCAUUUAGCCAGAUCUCCACUUCAGCAGAACAACCGCACUGGCAGCUGCAUUCCAUCGCUCUCAUCAGAGGCUGUGAAUUUUCAAACAGUUGGAAACCACCCUGCUUCUACUUCACAUCCAGUGUGAAUGCCAACAGCCGGGAGCCAGCGGGCAGAAGAGGGAAUUUGGCGGCUUGCACAGAUUUUCUCAGCGGCCCUCACUGUCAACAUUCGAGACGGCAGUUCUGGGUUACAUCCCCUCCAGCAAGCUCCAUCUCAGCACUCCUGCACUGACUACACUCUUGUGAAUUUUUAACAAUCUGGGUAAGUUCUCUGCAUAUCUCACUGGAUCACUUAAGCCCUAACUCCUAUCCAUACCCCCUGUUUCUUCUUCCCUCUCUCUGCAAAUUAUUCUAGUGUCUAACUCCCCUGCUAAUUGGUAAGGACAGGGAUCAGUGUUGCUCACACUUUUGUGCUCUCUCAAGGGUCCAGUAGAGUGGGUUGCAAACAGAAGGGGCUUAAAUCAAUCAGUGGUGUUCUUCCCUGAGUUGUUUAAGAGGAGGCUAGGCUGCCCCUAGCUGAGAUGG